GAUGAACGCUGGCGGCGUGCCUAAUACAUGCAAGUCGAGCGAACAGACGAGGAGCUUGCUCCUCUGACGUUAGCGGCGGACGGGUGAGUAACACGUGGAUAACCUACCUAUAAGACUGGGAUAACUUCGGGAAACCGGAGCUAAUACCGGAUAAUAUAUUGAACCGCAUGGUUCAAUAGUGAAAGACGGUUUUGCUGUCACUUAUCGAUGGAUCCGCGCCGCAUUAGCUAGUUGGUAAGGUAACGGCUUACCAAGGCAACGAUGCGUAGCCGACCUGAGAGGGUGAUCGGCCACACGGGAACUUAGACACGGACCAGACGCCUGCGGGACGCAGCAGUAGGGAAUCGUCCGCAAUGGUCGAAAGCCUGACGGAGCAACGCCGCGUGAGUGAUGAAGGUCUUCGGAUCGUAAAACUCUGUUAUUAGGGAAGAACAAAUGUGUAAGUAAAUAUGCACGUCUUGACGGUACCUAAUCAGAAAGCCACGGCUAACUACGUG
rnacentral:rRNA from 1 species